GGAGAGGGCAGUAUGUUGUGUGCAGUGCUGUGUUCAGACUGGUGUCCAUCAUGUGAAAUAUUUGUGAAAGACAUCAUGCUGAAUAGAGUAAGGCCCAUGAUAUUCUUCAUUUAUUAU
rnacentral:precursor_RNA from 7 species